AACGAACGCUGGCGGCAUGCCUAACACAUGCAAGUCGAACGAGACCUUCGGGUCUAGUGGCGCACGGGUGCGUAACGCGUGGGAACCUGCCCUUAGGUUCGGAAUAACUCCCCGAAAGGGGUGCUAAUACCGGAUAAUGUCUUCGGACCAAAGAUUUAUCGCCUUUGGAUGGGCCCGCGUUGGAUUAGCUAGUUGGUAGGGUAAAAGCCUACCAAGGCGACGAUCCAUAGCUGGUCUGAGAGGAUGAUCAGCCACACUGGGACUGAGACACGGCCCAGACUCCUACGGGAGGGAGGAGAGGGGAAUAGUGGACAGUGGGCGGAAGGAUGAUGGAGCAAGGACGGGUGAGUGAUGAAGGCAGUGGGGUUGUAAUGCGUUUUUACCCGGGAUGAUAAUGACAGUACCGGGAGAAUAAGAUCCGACUAACUACGUG
rnacentral:rRNA from 1 species